rnacentral:rRNA from 1 species
GAUGAACGCUGGCGGCGUGCCUAACACAUGCAAGUCGAGCGAUCUUCUUCGGAAAAGAGCGGCGGACGGGUGAGUAACGCGUGGGUAACCUGCCUCAUACACAUGGAUAACAUACCGAAAGGUAUGCUAAUACAAGAUGAUAUAAGAGAUUCGCAUGGAUUUCUUAUCAAAGCUCCGGCGGUAUGAGAUGGACCCGCGUCUGAUUAGCUAGUUGGUAAGGUAACGGCUUACCAAGGCGAUGAUCAGUAGCCGACCUGAGAGGGUGAUCGGCCACAUUGGAACUGAGACACGGUCCAAACUCCUACGGGAGGCAGCAGUGGGGAAUAUUGCACAAUGGGUGAAAGCCUGAUGCAGCAACGCCGCGUGAGCGAUGAAGGCCUUCGGGUCGUAAAGCUCCGUCCUCAAGGAAGAUAAUGACGGUACUUGAGGAGGAAGCCCCGGCUAACUACGUGCAGCAGCCGCCGUAAUAC